CUCAGGCUCAUCAUCGUCUUCAAUAUCCCAACUCAAAUCCUCAUCAUCUUCUUCCGCAACACUCAAUCUCUUCCCUGUAUCAGUCUUGCUCGCACUCUCACCAUGAUCAACUUUCUUCUCAUCAUUACCUUCAACAUCAUCAAUCUCAUCCCAUUCAAGAUCCUCCUCUUCUCUCGACAAAGUCCGAGCAGGCACAGCCGAGACAUUACUCUCUUUAUUAGAUUCAACUUCAUUAACCACCCCCUGAUCAGAUUCCUUCACCAACUUCUCAUUAUUCCCUUCAUCCUUCACCAACUUCUCAUUAUUCCCUUCAUCCUUCACCACCACCUCCUUCCCUUCCACUACAUUUCCCUCAUCACCUUCCGCAACCUCUUUCCCGCUCCCUCCACUACUCUCAGCUCCCACUAAGCCCACAUUCGUCUCUUCACCCUCACCCUCAUUCUCCUCCCCGUCCUCCUCAUC
rnacentral:lncRNA from 1 species